UCGGAGGCGGCGGCCGCACUGCUUUCAUUUCGGGGCUGUCAUCGCCAGAAACGCCGGCUGCCAGCCGCCCACCAGCUCGGCUCCAGCCAGGCUGUGGUCUCUACAAGGAUGCCUGAUGGAAAUCUAGUCUGAAUACCUUUCCAAUUUGGCAGGUACAGCGGUGGCAAUGGGCUGCUUCUACCCUGGCAUGGGUCUGCAUCAGCCCAGGACUCAAUCCAGAGGAAGGGGUGCUUAUUUUUUGAUCAAGGAUACCACAUGGGCUAGUGGUAGCUCUAGGUGGUCAGUGGGAAGGAGGUGGUCAGAAGGAGUGACCCAUUGGUCACCUAUGUACCUCUGUCCUAGCAAACCAUGUGGCAGAGUGGGAUGAGGGUGGUAAAAGAAGCAGGGAUUUUAUCUCACAAUCUAUGGCAUUUACUCUCCUCCUGCCUUGAUCCUUAUUAUCACCGUGUGUCCUGUCUCUUCCUGCAGAAGACUUGUGUCUUACUCAGCUUUGUGUUCCCUACAGCCCCUAGAACACAGUAAGUCCUCUUGCAAUAAACAUAUGCUGAGUGAAAAGUGAAUUAGCAAGCUUGUCAUGCCUGCCUAUUGUUAUCUGUUGCCUGUGGAAAAAAAUAUGUAAGAAAUGCAUUAUUUUUAUUAUAAUUCAUACUAAAUUUACUCUUUUUAAAAAUCCAUUUUGGACAAUUUUUUGAGGCUAAAUUGUGUGGCAUUCAAAAAAAGUGAAAACAAAGCCUUGCCAACAGUCUGAAUGCAUGCUAACAUCAAGAAUCGUUACCUAAUGAUUUUAAAGCAUCUGGCUGAGUUGAUUGGGUUAGAAUUGGAAUCCACCCCCUUUCCUUGCGGACGGAUGCAUGUGGGUACACACGUGUAAUUACUGUCACAGAGUGACAUGUACAUUCAUGAACAGAAUGUGUUGGACAGAAAUGUUUCACUAGCAUCCUGAAGAAACAAAGGAAAAUCACUAAAUGCAAGAAUAUAAUUGCUUUAUCAAUUUUGGAUCAGCAUUUCAACUUCCAAAAAGGCAUGAAAUAUAUUAUAUUUCCACUAUUAUACAUUUUAUCUUAAGAACAGUUCCAAAUCAAAUUAAGCAUCCCCUGAAUUGAGAUAGAAAGACAGCAGUUACAAUCUAUGGUGGCAAGUAUGGAAGAAGAGCUGUUUUUCUUUAAACAGUAGAAUAAAAGGCCUUUUAGAGAUAAUCCAAAGGACAAAGUGUUGAGGUAAAUAACAAACUUCUCUUCUGACCUGUUUUCAAUGCACAAUUUAGACGGAUCUAUUCUAUUCUAAAAAAUAUUAGAGAAAAAAUAUGACAUGAUGCCACAAAAUGUCCAUGUGGUAAGCAUCAAACACAAUAAUCAUUCUCUUAAAAAAUCCAACCCACAUAUAUAAAUCUUCACAAAAAUAAAUUCAGCAAGUUUUGAAAAACAUUUAUUCCAUUACUAUCCACUGCAAAUAACUGUCUUCAAUGAAUUGAAACACAUUUAAAUUUUCGAAUGCAACAGAACUUCAUUAUAGCAGAGCUUGUUGUUGUCCAGAUUCAAAUAUAAACAAUGAAAAUUAUGUCUUCUAAAAUUGUUUUCGUUGAAACAUAGCAGCAGAACUCAUGUUUUCUUUCCUACUCAGCUCCCCUGCAAAGGGGUUUUCUAAGGAACCCAGGGCCAAGACAAAGGAAUAGGGAGGAAGUCUAGCACAAUGGGAAGCCCCUGAAGGGUUUAAGCAGAAGACAAUAACAGACGCUGAGAAGUGGCAGCAGGGAGUGGAGGAAAGAAAGCCUGAAAUUUACCCUGCUUUCUGCUCUGCACAUGGAAGGCCCCAUCCAUAUGUCCAUUGUCACCCAAGGCGUUUUGACAAGUCUAGAGUGAGGUAAGAGAAUGGCAUUUAUUGAGGUCUAAUACUGAGGCCUGGGGCUGGGGUGUACAUCAGAAGACAUUCAUAGACAAAGCUGAACAAAGGGUCAUACCCACUGGCACCUGCUGGGCACUUCUCUAAAACUGGCACUGGGACAUCAUUAGAAUGAAUUAGAACUAGGGCACCAGUUAACCCAGGCCUACACACUAGUGAAAGGAAAAUUGAGCCUCUCCCCGACCCUGCUCCAGACAACUGAAUGGUGACUUCAAGAACAAAUAUUCUAAGGAUCUUAAUUAGAAGGGGAGUGAUACUGUAGACCAGACCAUGCUCUAUCACGUAGAAGAUGUAUUGUUGGCAAAGUUGUUGAGCAUCUUAUGGCCUCAUUUUCCUCAUCCGUAAACUAGUGCUUGUCACACAAGUCUGUUAUGAGGAUUAUUACAACAAUGCCUAGGCAGAUGACAACUAUUAUGUAGCAAAUCUGUAGUGAGAAAUUAACCCAGAAUAUGCAGCACAAAAUGCCUCCUUAACUUCACAGACAUGUUAGGAAAAGAGUUAGAAGAGAGGGAAAGAGGAGAUACUGCCCAUCAUAGAGAGAUCCCCACUCCCAUCCACCUCUGUUGGCUAUCAAGGUGCUAAAAAGUUUUUCUUUCUAGGUAUGACCAUAUGUUUAUAGUCACCUAUCAGCAAAGGUUGAAGGGCUGGGAAUUAGGAAACACGUGAUUCUGCUUUUAAUUUUGACCCUGAUUCUAUGACCUUCGACAUGUUAUUUAUCUAAUAAAAGAAGAACACUAUUUCCCAUCCCCAAACUGCCUCGUCUCUUCAGGCAAGCCAGUCUUUGGUUUUCUAAACCACUGGGAGGAACCAUCAUCACAUAGGAAAAGCAGAACACUGGGUAAUAAAUUGUUCUAUGUAACUCUUUGGCAUACAUUAUUUAAGUUUUGCCAAUAGAUUCACCUUGUUAGUUAUGUUCUGGUCAAGCCAAUGUCAAGAGUAUUCAUAAAAACACACACUGGGUGACUGGCAGGAGAAGCUGAUGUAGAGCCGAAAAAUAACUGGGGAUUAGAAAGUGAUAAAUCAAUA